rnacentral:rRNA from 1 species
UGGGGAAUUUUGGACAAUGGGGGCAACCCUGAUCCAGCCAUCCCGCGUGUGCGAUGAAGGCCUUCGGGUUGUAAAGCACUUUUGGCAGGGAAGAAACAGCCUGGGAUAAUACCCCGGGCGACUGACGGUACCUGCAGAAUAAGCACCGGCUAACUACGUGCCAGCAGCCGCGGUAAUACGUAGGGUGCAAGCGUUAAUCGGAAUUACUGGGCGUAAAGCGUGCGCAGGCGGUUCGGAAAGAAAGGUGUGAAAUCCAGGCUUAACCUUGGAACUGCACUUUUAACUACCGAGCUAGAGUACGUCAGAGGGGGGUAGAAUUCCACGUGUAGCAGUGAAAUGCGUAGAGAUGUGGAGGAAUACCGAUGGCGAAGGCAGCCCCCUGGGAUGAUACUGACGCUCAUGCACGAAAGCGUGGGGAGCAAACAGGAUUAGAUACCCUGGUAGUCCACGCCCUAAACGAUGUCAACUAGCUGUUGGGGUUUAAUUAACCUUAGUAGCGCAGCUAACGCGUGAAGUUGACCGCCUGGGGGAGUACGGUCGCAAGAUUAAAACUCAAA